GAAAACGACUGCUAAGACUGGAUAGGAGACAAGAAGGCAUCUUCUUGUUUUUAAAAGACCUAGCAAUAGGUAUGCUUAGGGAGGAGCUUGCGUCACAUUAGUUAGUUGGUGGGGUAAAGGCCUACCAAGACUAUGAUGUGUAGCCGGGCUGAGAGGUUGAACGGCCACAUUGGGACUGAGACACGGCCCAAACUCCUACGGGAGGCAGCAGUAGGGAAUUUUCGGCAAUGGAGGAAACUCUGACCGAGCAACGCCGCGUGAACGAUGAAGUAUUUCGGUACGUAAAGUUCUUUUAUUAGGGAAGAAUAAAUGAUGGAAAAAUCAUUCUGACGGUACCUAAUGAAUAAGCCCCGGCUAACUAUGUGCCAGCAGCCGCGGUAAUACAUAGGGGGCAAGCGUUAUCCGGAAUUAUUGGGCGUAAAGGGUGCGUAGGCGGUUAAAUAAGUUUAUGGUCUAAGUGCAAUGCUCAACAUUGUGAUGCUAUAAAAACUGUUUAGCUAGAGUAAGAUAGAGGCAAGUGGAAUUCCAUGUGUAGUGGUAAAAUGCGUAAAUAUAUGGAGGAACACCAGUAGCGAAGGCGGCUUGCUGGGUCUUUACUGACGCUGAGGCACGAAAGCGUGGGGAGCAAACAGGAUUAGAUACCCUGGUAGUCCACGCCGUAAACGAUGAGUACUAAACGUUGGGUAAAACCAGUGUUGAAGUUAACACAUUAAGUACUCCGCCUGAGUAGUACGUACGCAAGUAUGAAACUUAAAGGAAUUGACGGGACUCCGCACAAGCGGUGGAUCAUGUUGUUUAAUUCGAAGGUACCCGAAAAACCUCACCAGGUCUUGACAUGCUUCUGCAAAACUGUAGAAACACAGUGGAGGUUAUCAGUUGCACAGGUGGUGCAUGGUUGUCGUCAGCUCGUGUCGUGAGAUGUUGGGUUAAGUCCCGCAACGAGCGCAACCCUUAUUGUUAGUUACCAGCACGUAAUGGUGGGGACUUUAGCAAGACUGCCGGUGAUAAAUUGGAGGAAGGUGGGGACGACGUCAAAUCAUCAUGCCCCUUAUGACCUGGGCUACAAACGUGAUACAAUGGCUGUUACAAAGGGUAGCUGAAACGCAAGUUUUUGGCGAAUCUCAAAAAAACAGUCUCAGUUCGGAUUGAAGUCUGCAACUCGACUUCAUGAAGUUGGAAUCGCUAGUAAUCGCGAAUCAGCAUGUCGCGGUGAAUACGUUCUCGGGGUUUGUACACACCGCCCGUC
rnacentral:rRNA from 1 species